CGCAAUCUUAAUUUCACUUUAUUUGAUUUACUUUUUUGUUUGAAGUGAAAUUCAUCUGUACGUUUUCACUGCAAACAGACUAUAACAAGUAGCAUGCACAAUAUAAUCUUGCCAAAGCUACAUACUCACAACCAGGUUCAUUUGUUAUUACUGUAUUUUACAUACUUGUGUCUGUGAUGGUUAGAAAGUCUGAAUUUGUGAUCCCAUAUGUGAGAUCAGGCCCACUAUUUGAUCUAUUGAAUUUAUAUAUGUUUUCACUUAGGCAUUAACUCAUUAAGGACUUAUUAUAACAUUUACUGCACAUUUCCAGCUGCAGUUGCUAUGUUUUAUACAGAAAACAGUUAGUGAGACAUUGUUCCUUCAAAAAUGAAGUAAAGGGUACUCAACAUCUCGUGUGUAUUGUUGUUAUAUAAGAUGGGCCAUUUUAUAUUUUGUCAUAUUUUAACAAAAAAAUGCCUGAUGGAGAGCUUUGUCAACACAAUCUAUUUGUUUACAGAGAACAAAGUUGUAUAAUGUAAGUGAUAUUAAAUACUUAACAUUAUCAUGAAUCAUUUACUGGAAUAUUGUAUUUGAUGGCAGUUAUUUAAUAUAGCUGGUAUAUAGAUGCACAUAGAUGAUGUCUACAAACAUGUUGGUCUAUUUAUAUUAGGAGAGAGGUACCUAUGUCAUAUCUGUUUUCCUGUUUCUUUGUAUAAGGCUUAUGUAUAUCUUAAUACUGACUAUUAAAAUUACAAAAUCAUGUAAUACAUCCAAGGACUCCUGACUCAGACACACGUAUCUGAGACAAGCAGUGUUGAUGUUGCAUGUGGACUCCACAUGUUGUAUUAGGAAGGAGUUUCCUUUAUACUGGGGGAAGACGUCUCCAACUGACUUCAAAUUUAAAAGAAAAAAUGCCUGACUGUUGUAUUGAUAAUUUGUAAUGGCAUUUUAUGUGAAAGUAUAAUGACUCCAAAUUUUAUAGCCAAUUUUUAGUUAAAAAGUUCCUCUGAUAAUUGAGUCAAGAAGCCUAAAGAAAUGUUGUAUUUUCUUUCACUCAACAAACAAGAGUUGUACUUGAUUACAUAACAACUUCUUUUUAUUCUUUACACGAAGUUUCAGAGCCAAAUCUUGCUCUUUCAUUAGGUGAAAGACUUGAUAAAGGAGCAAGAACUAGCUCUGAAACGUAUAAAGAAUAAAAAGAAGUUGUAAUCCUUAAAAACAUGUCAUGUAUUCUAAAUGCCUUUCAAGAACUUCAAGAGUUGUACUUUUGAAACUGUAGAGAGUCCUUUGAUCCGAGUCAUUAAAUCAACAUAAAAAAGAAAGCAAUUAUGUUUGGUAAAUAAAUGUGUUGACCUCGCAACAGAAACAGCAACAGACCAAGGGGCCAACUUCAAUACUGCUUUUGAGUAUACGGAAUGUGAAAAUGUAGACACUUCAGCUAUUUCCUGUUAACCCUUGAAAGGCUGCCAAGGGAUAUAUGUUUCUCAGCUGUGCAUGGUUGACUGAACAAAACCCCAACAAGUUGUAAGAUACAAUUUUGUUGUUGUUGUUGUUUCAUAUUAUCAUGGUGUUCAUAUUUAUAAACAUGUAGAUGUAAGUAUUGUAUAUAUAUUUUGUAAUGUUUUGAUAUAUGGCUUCAGUGAGUUGUACAUUUCUGAUUUUCAUAUUUAAUCUUCUGUUCUGGUUUGCAAUAAUGAAUUUUUUGUUUGGUGACGUUGUGAAGUAUUGGGUGAAGGCCACAGGUGUAUGAAGGCCCGUAGUGUAUGAAUGCCCUGAGUUUAUGAAUGCCCUGAGUUUAUGAAGGGUGUUUUCAAAUGGUUGUUGCUGUUUGUCAUGGAGUUAUGAGUGGUGCAAGCAGAACAAACCACCCCAGGCUGUGAUAUAUAGAGAGCUGCUCCACAUCGGUGUUGUAGUGUCAUGUGGAAGUUGCCUAUAAUCAUGAUAAUAUACUACACAAAAUCACCAAGGUAAAUCCAUGUAUACUGAUCUAUACUACACAAAAGAAGAUAAAGAAAGCACAAUUUUUUCAUAUUGCUUUAGCAUUUCUGUCAUGCCAUUUUGAAACCAGUUGUAUUAUAUUAAAUGUACCCUGCUUACAUUUUUAAUUUCAACCCAACAACAGCCAGCUGAUUGACCCAAUGUAUUGCCCCUGUCAAGACCAGACUGUGACUAGUUUAGUAAUGGGAAAGAUUCAUGUGCUCUUUAACUUUUUUGAGUUGUAUAGAUCCGCAUAUAGGAAUUUGCCUGUUUGAUGUAAUUGAUUUAGUGCAGGGGGAUUCAAAGCCUUUACCUGUAGGCAUCCCUGGUGGGUCCCAGCCUACAAACUGGGUUCCCAGAGAAAGUACAAUAUUGAAAACUGUGCUAUACCAUGAGUGAUGAACGAUUGCUUAUCUUCAGAGGUUGUUAGGUAAACAAAAUAUAAAGUAAAUCUAUAUAUUGUAUUUUUAAAUGAUUAUGUACAGAAAUAAUUGUAUGUGGCACCAGAUUAUGAAAUAGCAGUAUUUAUUCCUGAACAUUCAUACACACAGAUUGUAAUUUCUUUCCAUUUUAGUAUUGUGUGUGUCCAUGAUGCAGGAUUUUAUGUCUUGUAGUUUCCUGAGCAUGUAUCAUCAGUAACAGGGAAAUGGUCAGCCUGAGGCCUGAUUGUUUUAGUAACAGUUUCACCACUUAAUUUCUAUAUUUUUUGUAAGAAAAUAAUUAAAGCAUGUGACAUUCAGGCAUUUGACCUGUUGAAAUGUUUGUUUUCAAUACUUACUACAAAAUACAUCUUUUAGUGUAACUGUGCAAAGGUAAGAGAAGUGUGUACAUGUAAUUCUUAGUUACGUUUAACUUAAACCCUGUGUACACCUGACCUUGAAUAUGUAUACAUUAGAUAAAUAAAUCUUAUGAAUACAUACCUCUAACACUUAACUGCCUUUUUCCUGAUAAUUGUUUCUGAAUCCAUAGGUUUUGCUUGAAUAUAAUUGUUAAAGUCCAUGGUUUUGUGUUGUCUAUAUUCCUAGUGAUCCUCCAAGCACAAUCAGCAGAAGUUAUCUCCCUUAACAGAAAGGUUUAGGUCACAAUUUAGGUCACAAUUCAGCCAGAGACACAUUUGUAGGCAAGAUGGCUGCACUAGAUUUCUUAUUUCAAGAAUCAAUGCCACCUCUGCCUGAUCAAGAAGACAUUGCCAUGGAAAUCCAGUUGCCAGAGGCUCUUUUCUUCAAUCAGCUAAGCAUAAUUACCUCAAUCUUCCUUAGUCUUCCUUCCCAUCUAAGAUCAUCAAGGUUUUGAAUGAGUGAUUGUCUCUAUUCAAGUAUUCAGACCGUUUGGGAUGUUUUUUCUUCUCAGGGAAAAGAUUCUUAUGUGACUGAUAACAGAAAUUCACCUUCACUUUUCACGGUUUUGUAGUUAAAAUAUUGUAACAUUUGUUCAUCAAGGAAGGGAGAAUCACAGAUUUUGAUGAAAGAGUUAAGCUUUCUUUAUUCCCAGUCUCUACUAGCAGUCCAAUUUCCUCUGUUGAGGAGGGAUCAUUAUCUGCAUCAGUUAUGUUCAUCUAUGCCUCUUGCCGAUCAGUUCUUUAAUGGGAAAUGUAUAGCCUUGGACAUCCUAAAAUCAGAGAAUGAUAGGAAGUUCAACAGGGCUCCAACAUCAGGUUUACUACUAGGAGGACCUGCUAGGAAGAAAGACUACACAAAACCAUAGACUUAUUUUCUUGAAGCUAAACCUGUUAAUUGACAGAAACAAAUUUCUGGAAAAAUGCAAUCAAGUGUUAGAGGUAGUAUUCUAAGAAUUAAUAUCACUGAUGAUAAUGUUCCAAACAUGUCAUUUUCAUAGAAAUGUAACACAUGUUAUAUUUGGGAUUACACUUUCUCAAUAAAGUACAGAUUCUAGUACUUUUGGGGGGGGGGGGGGUGCGGAUGGGGUUAGACAGUCCCAUCCAGGAAUCGAACCCAUACAGUCCAGAGUCUGGUGUCUAAUCGUCUGCACACAAAGUUACCUGUCUAACCCACUCAGGCUCAUUUCAAUGAGGAUUAAAAAAGGAAUCUUUCACUGACCGACAACAUAUUCAUCAAGUUUCCCAUCAGUCAUGCUAACCUUUGGCAGUGAAUGUUUGAAAUGAAUAUCUUAUCAUGAUCUAUCAUCAUUUCAUUUGUACGUCCACUGAUUCAGAUUGCGUUAAGUGUCUGUAUGGAUGCAAGAUUCUAGAUGAUCUGUAUAGAAACUGUUCCUGACAAUGUUUCAUCAACAAAUUGCCGUGUGAUAUAAUUGUAUAUAUUUUUAAUCAGCUUUAUUAGAAGUGAAAUAGUAGAUCAACAUUUUCCUUGUUCUAAUCCAUUAAUGUUUUCAUAUCGUAUAUUUUCAACACUUUCAGUCUGUAUCCUACCCAUGGUUGUAUGAAGGGAGAUACUGUAUACACGGUGUCACUGUGGUGUGUAUUAAGUCAAGUACUGGACCAAGCAUGGAAGUAAAUGGAGGAUCAGAUAUUCCUACACACAGAUUAUCAGUAAAACCCAUUGUCAGACUAUAUUUGAAGCACUGACAACAGGAUUCUGAAAGUUUAAUGUUUCUGUGUUAUUCAUUCUUAGUUUAAGUAGGUAGUUUUAGCACAAUAGUGAUUGGCUAUAUAUAUUGACAUAUAUAAUGUUUAUGAUUCUGCAAUUCGCUGUGCAGAGUUACAUCUUUUGGGGUUGAUCUUAUGACUGGGGGUGCGGCAAUGGGGGGUAGCCAAGUGGUUGAAGUGUUCACUCGUCCCGCUGAAGACCCGAUUUCGAUUCCCCACUUGGGUACAAUGUGUGAAGCCAAUUUCUGGUGUCCCUAGCAGUGAUAUUGCUGGAAUAUUGUUAAAAGCGGCAUCUCGCUCACUAACUCUCUCUUAGGAUUGUGGGUUUGAGCCCCAGUUUGCCCUGGGUUUGUCAACACCAUACCCAAGCUUGUAGGUUUCCCUGCAUUACUUUGGGCUUUCAUCACUAAUUAAGGUGCCACUUUGUGAUGUAAACUGGACUACUGUCAAAAGUAGCAUUAAAUCCAACUUACUGAUAUAUACUUGAAAAGAUUAUGCAGUGGGACUAUAUGUCAAAUUAGCGUAUUCUGAUUUUGAUAGAUUAGUGCUCUUAAUUUAACCUUGUUAAAUGAACAUGUAUAUCAAACUUAAGCAUUACAUUUAGAAAUAACUGUUACAUAAUUGUGUCAGAUCAAAGUAUAUAUUUUCUUGUCUGGUGACCAGUGUCACUUUAAAUAGUAAGUCUGUUAUACUACUGCAUGUCAGUUUAGUGGGGGAAACCUGAGUGGUGGUAACAAACCAGAUGAUACUCAGGGUGAAUUCAAGCCAGUCAUCACCAGAUCCUGACACUACUAAGGGAGGGAACUCUGCACAUCAGGCCAUAGUUCACAUAGGGGGGAAUUAGCUUAUGAAUAGGUAGGGUGUAUGCUCAAUACACAAAUGUGUAUUUUUAAUACUACUUGCAACCUUUUGAUCAAGAAACCUAACCUCCUGAGUCUUGUAUUUUGUACAAUGAUGUAACAUGUGUUGUUAAUGUUUUAAUGUUUGUUAUAUGUUUGUAUAUCUCACUUGUCACACACUGAGAUGAGAAUGAAUGGUGGUCAGGUGACUGUCACUGUAUCUGGUCCCCAUUCAAUGAAGCGAUUUAUAUAUUUGACAAUAUUAAGUCUAUGUUGAAGGUUGAGAGUUAUGGCAGUAUUAGCAUUAAGAUUGCUUUGUGGAGCGUCACUCUGUUCUCAACCAGUGAGAAGUCAAUGUGUUUCAUUGUCAGGCUUCAAAUCAUCGGGACCAGAGCCUUAGCGACUAAACUAUUGUAAAUGUAUGUUAUAGUGUUCAAAGUCUUAAUACUGAGAUUGUUUUAUGCAAGCGGGUCCUGAUUCAGAGCGCUCCAAAUUGGUCUUUUAAAAUACUGAAUAUUUCUUGUAGUUUUACAUCUGUAUCAGAGCUACAUUAAAUAGCAGCCCAGUUGUUAGAAUUGGCCUUCAGCAGCCAAUGCUUGUAACAUGGUGGUGAGAUUUCCAGACCUGGUCAUCAAAUGCCAGUUGCAUAGAUGUAUGCUUAUGGUGUCGAUCACUGGAUUGUCUGGUCCAGAUUUGAUUAUUUACAGACUUCAAUGACAUAGCUAGAACAUUGCUGAGGGUGACAUUACGCAAACAAAAUCACACAAAGCAAUCUUAGCAUUAAGGCUGUUGUUAUGACUAACAAGUGUUAUUUCACUGGUUGCCAUGGUUUCAGUUUCCUGGAAGUAACAGUACAGGUAUUACCUGACUGGUUUGUGAGGUUUGACAGGAAUGGUGUAAUUGAUAAUCAAGGAAUAAACCACUGUGAUUGUUG